GUCCUCUACCUCUCCUCUGACUGGGCUUGAACCAGGGUCCUCUACCUCUCCUCUGACUGGGCUUGAACCAGGGUCCUCUACCUCUCCUCUGACUGGGCUUGAACCAGGGUCCUCUACCUCUCCUCUGACUGGGCUUGAACCAGGGUCCUCUACCUCUCCUCUGACUGGGCUUGAACCAGGGUCCUCUACCUCUCCUCUGACUGGGCUUGAACCAGGGUCCUCUACCUCUCCUCUGACUGGGCUUGAACCAGGGUCCUCUACCUCUCCUCUGACUGGGCUUGAACCAGGGUCCUCUACCUCUCCUCUGACUGGGCUUGAACCAGGGUCCUCUACCUCUCCUCUGACUGGGCUUGAACCAGGGUCCUCUACCUCUCCUCUGACUGGGCUUGAACCAGGGUCCUCUACCUCUCCUCUGACUGGGCUUGAACCAGGGUCCUCUACCUCUCCUCUGACUGGGCUUGAACCAGGGUCCUCUACCUCUCCUCUGA